rnacentral:rRNA from 1 species
GUCGAGCGGACAGAUGGGAGCUUGCUCCCUGAUGUUAGCGGCGGACGGGUGAGUAACACGUGGGUAACCUGCCUGUAAGACUGGGAUAACUCCGGGAAACCGGGGCUAAUACCGGAUGCUUGUUUGAACCGCAUGGUUCAAACAUAAAAGGUGGCUUCGGCUACCACUUACAGAUGGACCCGCGGCGCAUUAGCUAGUUGGUGAGGUAACGGCUCACCAAGGCGACGAUGCGUAGCCGACCUGAGAGGGUGAUCGGCCACACUGGGACUGAGACACGGCCCAGACUCCUACGGGAGGCAGCAGUAGGGAAUCUUCCGCAAUGGACGAAAGUCUGACGGAGCAACGCCGCGUGAGUGAUGAAGGUUUUCGGAUCGUAAAGCUCUGUUGUUAGGGAAGAACAAGUGCCGUUCAAAUAGGGCGGCACCUUGACGGUACCUAACCAGAAAGCCACGGCUAACUACGUGCCAGCAGCCGCGGUAAUACGUAGGUGGCAAGCGUUGUCCGGAAUUAUUGGGCGUAAAGGGCUCGCAGGCGGUUUCUUAAGUCUGAUGUGAAAGCCCCCGGCUCAACCGGGGAGGGUCAUUGGAAACUGGGGAACUUGAGUGCAGAAGAGGAGAGUGGAAUUCCACGUGUAGCGGUGAAAUGCGUAGAGAUGUGGAGGAACACCAGUGGCGAAAGGCGACUCUCUGGUC